rnacentral:rRNA from 1 species
UACGUAGGGUGCGAGCGUUGUCCGGAAUUAUUGGGCGUAAAGGGCUCGUAGGCGGUCUGUUGCGUCAGGAGUGAAAAACUCGGGGCUUAACCCCGAGCCUGCUUCUGAUACGGGCAGACUAGAGGUAUGCAGGGGGAGAACGGAAUUCCUGGUGUAGCGGUGAAAAUGCGCAGAUAUCAGGAGGAACACCGGUGGCGAAGGCGGUUCUCUGGGCAUUACCUGACGUGAGGAGCGAAAAGUGUGGGGAGCGAACAGG